GACGAACGCUGGCGGCGUGCCUAACACAUGCAAGUCGAACGGAACUGUUUUGAAAGAUUUCUUCGGAAUGAAUUUGAUUUAGUUUAGUGGCGGACGGGUGAGUAACGCGUGAGUAACCUGCCUUCAAGAGGGGAAUAACAUUCUGAAAAGAAUGCUAAUACCGCAUGACAUAUCGGAACCACAUGGUUUUGAUAUCAAAGAUUUUAUCGCUUGAAGAUGGACUCGCGUCCGAUUAGUUAGUUGGUGAGGUAACGGCUCACCAAGACCGCGAUCGGUAGCCGGACUGAGAGGUUGAACGGCCACAUUGGGACUGAGACACGGCACAGACUCCUACGGGAGGCAGCAGUGGGGGAUAUUGCGCAAUGGGGGCAACCCUGACGCAGCAACGCCGCGUGAAGGAUGAAGGUUGUCGGAUUGUAAACUUCUUUUAUUAAGGACGAAAAAUGACGGUACUUAAUGAAUAAGCGCCGGCUAACUACGUG
rnacentral:rRNA from 1 species